ensembl:lncRNA
AUAUAGUGAGAGAGAGAGAGGAAGAGAGAGAUAGAGCCGCCUCUCCCGCCGCCCGCUGCGUUUGUCCCGGGAACCGCGGUGCAGGACUCCCGCCUCCUGAAAACUUUCCCUCCGUCCUCGCCGGCGGGGAGGAAGAUGCCGCCCUCGGCCGGACGCGACGGGAAUGGAGGCGCUUCCCCGCUUCACUUUAAAAUAUCACAGACGGAAGAGGCGACGUGCAUCUGUCCCGAGUUGGAAGAACAAGAAGAACGAAGGGAGCAGUGAGCCGGCCAGAACGGGA